UACGUAGGGGGCGAGCGUUGUCCGGAAUCAUUGGGCGUAAAGCGCGUGUAGGCGGCCCGAUAAGUCCGCUGUGAAAGUCCAGGGCUCAACCCUGGGAUGCCGGUGGAUACUGUCGGGCUCGAGUCCGGAAGAGGCGAGUGGAAUUCCUGGUGUAGCGGUGAAAUGCGCAGAUAUCAUGAGGAACACCAAUGGCGAAGGCAGCUCGCUGGGCUAACACUGACGCUCAGGCACGAAAGCGUGGGGAGCAAACAGG
rnacentral:rRNA from 1 species